rnacentral:rRNA from 1 species
CAGCCGCGGUAAUUCCAGCUCCAAUAGCGUAUAUUAAAGUUGUUGCAGUUAAAAAGCUCGUAGUCGGAUUUUGGCAUCAUGCCGAACUGUCAGCCGAUUGGUUUGUACGGUUUGGCGGGUGCUCUCCUUCCGGAGGCUCGUUUCCUCUUUCAUUAGAGGGUUCGAUGGUUCCGGGUCUUUUACUUUGAAAAAAUUAGAGUGUUCAAAGCAGGCCUAUGCUCUGAAUAGGUUAGCAUGGAAUAAUAAAAUAGGACUUUGGUUCUAUUUUGUUGGUUUCUAGGACCGAAGUAAUGAUUAAUAGGGACAGUUGGGGGCAUUCAUAUUCCAAUGUCAGAGGUGAAAUUCUUGGAUUAUCGGAAGAUGAACUUCUGCGAAAGCAUCUGCCAAGGAUGUUUUCAUUGAUCAAGAACGAAAGUUAGGGGAUCGAAGACGAUCAGAUACCGUCGUAGUCUUAACCAUAAACUAUGCCGACUAGGGAUGUGAUGGCGUUAUUUUAUACGACCCAUCAUGCACCUUAUGAGAAAUCAAAGUCUAUGGGUUCCGGGGGGAGUAUGGUCGCAAGGCUGAAACUUAAAGGAAUUGACGGAAGGGCGCCACCAGGAGUGGAGCCUGCGGCUUAAUUUGACUCAACACGGGAAAACUUACCAGGUCCAGACAUAGUUAGGAUUGACAGAUUGAGAGCUCUUUCUUGAUUCUAUGGGUGGUGGUGCAUGGGCCGUUCUUAGUUGGUGGAGUGAUUUGUCUGGUUAAUUCCGAUAACGAACGAGACCUUAAACCUGCUAAAUAGUAAUGCUAUGAUUUCUUCAUGGUAGCGACUUCUUAGAGGGACUAUCGGUGUCUAACCGAUGGAAGUUUGAGGCAAUAACAGGUCUGUGAUG